UACGUAGGGUGCAAGCGUUUGUCCGGAUUUAUUGGGCGUAAAGAGCUCGUAGGCGGUUUGUCGCGUCGGAUGUGAAAACCCAGGGCUCAACCCUGGGCCUGCAUUCGAUACGGGCAGACUAGAGUAUGGCAGGGGAGACUGGAAUUCCUGGUGUAGCGGUGAAAAUGCGCAGAUAUCAGGAGGAACACCGGUGGCGAAGGCGGGUCUCUGGGGCCAAAAAACUGACG
rnacentral:rRNA from 1 species